rnacentral:rRNA from 1 species
GCGUAUAUUUAAGUUGUUGCAGUUAAAAAGCUCGUAGUUGGAUUUUGGUUAAGAGGGCGCGGUCGGCCGUUUGGUCUGUACUGCGUUGUCUUGACUUCCUGAUGGGGACAUGCUCUUGGUUAACGCUGAGACAUGGAGUCAUCGUGGUUACUUUGAAAAAAUUAGAGUGUUCAAAGCGGGCUUACGCUUGAAUAUAUUAGCAUGGAAUAACACUAUAGGACUCCUGUCCUAUCUCGUUGGUCUCGGGAUGGGAGUAAUGAUUAAGAGGAACAGUUGGGGGCAUUCGUAUUUCAUUGUCAGAGGUGAAAUUCUUGGAUUUAUGAAAGACGAACUUCUGCGAAAGCAUUUGCCAAGGAUGUUUUCAUUAAUCAAGAACGAAAGUUGGGGGCUCGAAGAUGAUUAGAUACCAUCCUAGUCUCAACCAUAAACGAUGCCGACUAGGGAUUGGUGGAUGUUAAUUGAUGACUUCACCAGCACCUUAUGAGAAAUCAAAGUUUUUGGGUUCCGGGGGGAGUAUGGUCGCAAGGCUGAAACUUAAAGGAAUUGA